rfam:Oryzias latipes DNA, chromosome6, strain: Hd-rR.
UCCUGUAUCGAAAGUGACCAUGGCGUGCAUGUUGCCAGGUCAUUGAUAGUACAGGAAAAUCAAAGUGAGAGCAUUUUCCCGUGUUUGAAAGAUCUGUUCUUUUUGAACCCUGGCGCUCUCAGACA